rnacentral:rRNA from 1 species
UACCCGCUGAAUUUAAGCAUAUAAUUAAGCGGAGGAAAAGAAACUAACUAGGAUUCCCUCAGUAACGGCGAGUGAAGCGGGACUAGCUCAGGAUGUUAAUCUGCGCUUUUUGGCGCCGAAUUGUGGUCUAUAGACUUUGACGUUAUCUGCCGGGCCAAGUUCCUUGGAAAAGGACAGCUGAGAGGGUGACACUCCCGUCCGCCUGGUAGAGUGAGUCUUUGUCAACGAGUCGAGUUGUUUGGGAUUGCAGCUCUAAUUUGGUGGUAAAUUCCAUCUAAAGCUAAAUAUUGGUGGGAGACCGAUAGCGUACAAGUACCGUGAGGGAAAGAUGCAAAGAACUUUGAAAAGAGAGUUAAAGAGUACCUGAAAUUGCUGAAACGGAAGCGAAGGAAACCAGUGUUUGUUGGUUCAUAUUUCCCUUGCCACUUGUGGUGUGGGCGCUGUGAGCUUGCGUGGGUUUGCUUUGGUUGAUCCCUUUGGAAGAGCGCAGUCAGAGUUGAUGUCUGUUGCUAGCACUGGUAUGACUAAAGCAGA